rnacentral:tRNA from 1 species
UCCUCUGUAGCUCAGUUGGUAGAGCAUGGUGUUUGCAACGCCAGGGUUGUGGGUUCGAUUCCCACGGGGGGCC